GGGGCUGUGGCGCAGUUGGGAGCGCGCCUGCAUGGCAUGCAGGAGGUCGCCGGUUCAAUCCCGGCCAGCUCCACCA
rnacentral:tRNA from 3 species